UCUAACAAGCGUUACCACUGCAUAAAUUCGUGUAUUUUUAUGCAUCAAUAUCAAUGCAUUUAGGAAAAUAAUGGAUUGUGGUCUGGUAUUUUCGACCAAGUAGAGACUUUUUUUUUUACAUGUAUUUUUAUAUCCCGCUCCAGUAGAUGGCAGUGUGUGCGGAUGUAGACUGUAGAACGUUUGCGGAAGUGCCACAUUGUUUCCACGAGAUAAGCAAGCAUAGCAAAGAUAUUUUUAAACAAAUUAUAUCUGGUCUAGCAGGAGAAUCUUAUUUGGUUCAAUAACAUUGUUAAUUCUGUCUAUCCAUGUUAGCUAGACACCUGGUUGUUGAACACGUUGUGAUAUGUUAAAUGGAUGUAAAUUAGCGGAAAGGAGUAUGCACUAGAUAUCUAAGGCGUUCGGCUCAGUAUACUAGCGGAGUUUACUUUCCAUUGCAUUGGGGUUACCUUUUUAGCUAGAUCUGACCAGGGGGGAAAAAAUCUGCCAGAUUUAGAGUUUUGUUCAAGUAGUGUCUGGUAACAAGUGGUGAGCCUUCAGGUCUCCCUGAUAGCCUCAAAGCUUGGCGCACUGUCACUGAACCACAGUGUCUACAUGCAAUCAGCGAUGCCUGGAUGAAACAGGCAGACACACAGGGCCAAGGCCCACAUAGACAGUGGGCGGGAGGAGAGGUUUGAAGAAGAGAUGGGUGAUGUAGGUGACAAGGUCCAGACUGGGGCUCAGUUGAGAAACGGCGAUCCUAAAAACUGAACCAUAGGCAUAGCCUGGUCCCACGUCUGUUUAAGCGAUCAUUCUGACAACCACCGUGAGACAGUUGGUGACGAAAAAACAGAUCUGGGACCACCAGGCUUUUGAAGGGUGCCUAUCUUAAUGUAGGAUACCUGUUACUGUAGCAGAAUGACAUGUUGAUGUUUUUUACAUUUUUUAUUUUACCUUUAUUUAACUAGGCAAGUCAGUUAAGAACAAAUUCUUAUUUACAAUGAUGGCCUAGGAACAGUGGGUUAACUGCCUGUUCGGGGGCAGAACGACAGAUUUGUACCUUGUCAGCUCGGGGGUUUGAACUUGCAACCUUCCGGUUCCUAGUCCAACACUAACCACUAGGCCACCCUGCCCCAUGUGUUGGUAAAAAGCACUGUCACAAUGGUAGCUUACAUGGUACACUAGCCACUUUCACCCCGUCAGUGAUCAGUCCACACUGCAUCUAAGAUGAUACAUAUGAUAUUAAGUCAUCACUCCACACACUCUAGGCCUAAUGCCUACUGUCACCUUCCCUGUUCUCAGUGAAGGGAAGAGGAGACAGGAUGGUUAAGUACCAUAUAGGUCAGGAAACAGCUGACUGAGUCUAAAGCUCCAGAGAGGAGGCUGAGCUGGGACACCAUGUAGUAGAUCAGGUAUCUGAAGCAGGAGCUACCAGAGGAAUGGACCGUUGACCAUCUGGCCGAGGGCUUCUCCUUGCAUCGUGACAUCUUCCUCAGAGUCCUCCGGAGCAAGUUCACCCCCACCCCAGAGAGGAAAGCGAAACAGGACUCCAGCGUGUGGGCCAGGCUGAGACAGCAGGCCAUACCUGGAGGUGGGACAGGGUUGGCAACGGGCCCUACCUGGGGAUGGAGGAACAGAGGGACAGGGUAGGCAGCAGGUCUUACCCGGGGGUGGAGGAACAGGGGGACAGGGUAGACAGACGGUGUUAUCAGAGGAAGAACUGGAGGAACUAAUGCGGUCUACAAAGCCCUGGCCUGUGCUACAGAAUGGAAAAUAGUUCAUUUUCUUCUGAGGGAAACUUCCUGUACAGAAUCUGAAGUUGAGAUGUUUAUAGUUUGCAUAUUACUGCAUUACAGAGAAAUCUUCAAUCUUUAUUUAAAGAUGACAGACUGAUAAUGUCACAUUAUUUACCAUUCAUCUGUUAAGGUUUGAUUUUACAUUCUUGUAUCAAGUUGGUUUUCUGAACAUUAACAAAAUAAAAUCUACUCAUAUAUAUAUAUAUAUAUAUAUAUAUAUAUAUAUAUAUAUAUAUAU